rnacentral:rRNA from 1 species
CCGGAUGCGGAUCUCGAAAGCCUGUCCCAGUUCGGACUGGAGUCUGCAACCCGACUCCACGAAGUUGGAUUCGCUAGUAAUCGCGCAUCAGCCAUGGCGCGGUGAAUACGUUCCCGGGCCUUGUACACACCGCCCGUCAGGCCAUGGGAGCCGGGGGCGCCUGAAGUCCGGGACCGCGAGGACCGGCCUAGGGCGAAACUGGUAACUGGGGCUAAGUCGUAACAAGGUAUC